CUUGGGUCUCUCAGGUUUCGGUUUGAGCAUUUUGUCUUCCUCGGCCGGCCACUCCUUCGAUAACCCUCGACGGCUGGAUAAAAACCCUAAUCACUAUGGAGGUUCAGUAUUUCUCUACGCCUCCUUCUUCUAAAGGAGCUACUUCGAAAUCUGGACGCGUUGCAACGCCAAGCUCAUCGCCUCAACUUUCAUAGGUAAUAAGGCCAUGGAGACCAUCGAUGUAAAGGAACAUUCGGAAUCAAUGGUCGAAGCUGUCUUCACUCAAACAACAAUGGAUUUCUUCUUCGCCUAUGGGGCGAUCUCAUGCUACCUCCAUUGUGAAUGCCUAUCUAUCUCAAAAGUAUAUGCCUUCUGUGGAGCUAGGCUCUCUCAAUGAAGCGUUUGAUAUACGAAACAAAGCUUGGUUGAAAUUGUCUUAGCAGCAGUUACUCAUGUUUUCAUAAGGCAAGGAUUGAACAUUUUUACCAUAUACAAAAAACCGAUGCUUUGGAACAGAUGUCGAACUAUUUGAAGUUCAUGAAGGAAAUGCUGUCAAAGAAGAAGAAAUUUGAAAAUAUGAGACUAUGAGUUUAACUGGGGAGUGUAGUGCCAUACUGCAGAAGAAGUUACCUCAUAAAUUAAAGGAUCCUGGGAGUUUCACUAUCCUUUGCACUAUAGGGAAUCUUACAGAUUGUGAUGAUGUUUAAGUUUUAUCAAGUACUAGUCCGCCAUCCAGAUUCGUGGAUCCCCACUCAUGCCCAGACUUGUAUCACUCAUCUAUUGUGUGGUUUAUCUUAUUUUUCAUGCACUGAGGACAAUGCAUCAUUUUAAGUUUGGGGUGGAGGGCGUUAUAUGUACUUGGUACUUGUGCUGUUUGUUUAACUAAUAUGUAUGUUAAUUUGAGUUGAAUGAUUUAUGCAUGCUAAGUUUUUUAUUUUUAUGUUAAUGAAAAAUUCUUAAGGAUGUUUUGAAAACGGGUUAAUUUUGGUUAGGAAUAAUGCCUAGACUGGUUAAAUUUGGAUCUUUGGUUGCUUAUUCUAAUGAUGAUGGUUGAUGAGUCACUCUUGGUGUAUAUCACGCUUUGAAAUGGAAAUUGGAUAACAUAGUCCUAUCUUGAGUUUUCUUUGUUCUAAAUUCUUCUUUAUAUCCUCUGUUUAUUCUGAGCACGAACUACUUUCAUUUAAAACCUUUAACUGAACAAGAAAUUAAUUUAAGUCAAUUCGGUUGUCACUUCAAAAGACCCCGCUGGUUAGAGAGUGUCUUGCAUGAUGGUUAGUAAUGUUAGACUGGGGAAGGUAAAAAAGAGAGAGAUUAUUUUGCCUGGAAAAAAAAAAACUUAAAAGAAUGUCAUUUUGGAAAAAAAAAAAUUGUAAUGUGUAUGCAUGGACAGGGGUAAAAAGAGUUGUCAUUCCUGUGAUCAGUUAGGAUACUUGGGAUUUGACUAGGUACGAGUCCCUAUAGUGUUUGUAUGAAAGCUAGUACCCCUAGGUAAAAUGAUGCAAGUUUAUGGCCCUUUUAGAGUGAGUAUUGCAGGCGCUUUAAUUGAUAUAUUACUAUCUUGAGUGUGUUGGUGCUCGAUGAUUGGUGCUUGGGCUAGAGUAGGGGGAAAACUGAUAAAACUUAAUUAAAUCUUAAGUCAGUUAAUGAGUUUUAAAUUAAAGGAGGGGUCACACACACACGCAGGGGAGAAAGAGUUUUGGCUUUAGAAACUCUCAAUGGUUAGGAUGUGUAUGAAUUUUUCUGUGGAUAGGUGUUGCAUGUAUUGGGAAUCUGAUGAAAUUUGAGUGAGAGCAUACAUACCUAGGAUCUUGGCUAUGCAGUAUUUGUUAUUCUUCUUAUUUUUUGUUCCUUCCUUCUUUCAUUUGCUCAAAAAUACUAAAGUUUUAAGUUUUUGGUGGUGAAAAGCACCUGAAAAGUUCUUUAAUUACUUUCAAUAAUGGAGUUACUAUUGCUACUUUUGUAUGGUUUGAUGUGGUUUAUUGAGUGAUUUCAGGAAACCAAACAAUAGGAGCAAAUUGGGCAAAAAAUGAUCAAAACCCGUGGCAAAAGUCCAAAUAUGAGUAUCUAGGGGUCAACUAUGGAAUUAGGAAGGAAGCUAGGUCAAAUUUGAAGAAAAAGAGACAAAAUUUAGAAGAAAAUUUGGGGGGUCAGCGUUAAGUUUGUGUUGCAACGCUGCCCCCCGACGAUGAAGACCCAAGAGUAGAGAACAGGGCAGUGUCACAAUGUUGUGAUUCAGUGUUGCGACGCUACGAAUGGCAAGUGUGUGGUACCAUUGCUUCGAAUGUCAGCAUUGCAACACUGCGAUAAUUCUUCUUAAAGAGCAACAACGCCGUCUGAGAAAGGGAGAAGAGAAGAGUUCUUGGGAGAUAGUUCGACCUAGGGUAGAAAGCACUCAUCUGGAAAGUGAUUAUGAAUAGGAGAUCAACCUGGAAUUCGUUGGCAAAGGUCAAGAAGAUCGUGACUGAGAUCUAGUUACGGUGAAGGGAGAUCAUUUCUUUAAUUCUUUAAUUCAUUCUUUCUCCACGGCAAAUUUUCUUUGUCUAGGCAUUAUUAGUAGUAGAAUCAUGUGUAGCUAAACUAUAAAUUCUAUAAUGUUGUUGAUUUUUGGGUA